rnacentral:rRNA from 1 species
GAUUAACGCUGGCGGCGUGCAUAACACAUGCAAGUCGAACGAUGAAACUCAUUAGAUUUCUUCGGAAUGAAACUGAAUGGAUUAGUGGCGAACGGGUGAGUAACGCGUGAGUAACCUGCCUUACACAAGGGGAUAGCCUCUGGAAACGGAGAAUAAUACCCUAUGAAACCAGACAAUCGCAUGAUAAUCUGGUCAACAUGUUUAGUGGUGUAAGAUGGACUUGCGUCUGAUUAGCUAGUUGGUGAGAUAAAAGCUCACCAAGGCAACGAUCAGUAGCCGGCUUGAGAGAGUGUACGGCCACAUUGGGACUGAGACACGGCCCAGACUCCUACGGGAGGCAGCAGUGGGGAAUUUGGCACAAUGGGGGAAACCCUGAUGCAGCGACGCCGCGUGAUUUAGAAGGCCUUCGGGUUGUAAAAAUCUUUUGUAUAGGAAGAAAAUGACAGUACUAUACGAAUAAGGUCCGGCUAAUUACGUG